AUGAAAUAAUUUGACCUCCGUAGGUAGAAGAUAAUAAAGAACUCUUGCUAAUCGACUCGAAUGUAUAUUACAUUGAUGUCCGUAUAAAAAGGGCGUUUCUUGUCGAUUUGCAGCUGUAAUACCUAACUUCAAAAUUAUCGGAUAUUUGCUGAUGGCCUUGGUACGUAGCAACGACAGGUACAAGUUUUGCAAUAAAAUCCCGAGUGCUGGAUUGCAAACCAGGUGACCGAGAAUACUGCCCUCUAAUUGGACAAAAUCAAAAUAAAAAAAAAAUAAUCAUAAAAAUAUGUCAAUAACAAAGCAAAUAAAAAAAAAAUUAAAAAAAAAUAAAAAAAAAAUAAAAAA